UCAGCGGGUAUCCCUAUUUGAUCCGAGGCCAUGAUUUUCAAAAUUCAUUGGCGACUUUGAAAAUUGUCUCCCAACACAUUUGUUGCGUUUCGGACAAUAACAACGUGCCCAUUUAUUUCGAUGAGCCCUUGAUGGGCAACAUCAACACAAGAACAAAGUUCUUAGAUAUAAACGGCGCUCGAACAAAUAUACCCCAAAGAAUACUAAGGGGUGCAAUGUGCGUUCAAAGAUUCGAUGAUUCACUAAAUUCUGCAAUUCACAUUACUUAUCGCAUUUCGCUGCGUUCUUCAUCGAUGCCAGAACCA
rnacentral:misc_RNA from 1 species